AGCAGUGUGGUCUAGUGGCAAGAGCAUUGGCUUGGGAGUCAGAAGGACCUGGGUUCUAGUCCCAGCUCUGCUA
rnacentral:tRNA from 1 species